rnacentral:rRNA from 1 species
UACGUAGGUGGCAAGCGUUGUCCGGAAUUAUUGGGCGUAAAGCGCGCGCAGGCGGUCCUUUAAGUCUGAUGUGAAAGCCCACGGCUCAACCGUGGAGGGUCAUUGGAAACUGGGGGACUUGAGUACAGAAGAGAAGAGUGGAAUUCCACGUGUAGCGGUGAAAUGCGUAGAUAUUGGGAGGAAUACCGGUGGCGAAGGCGGCUCUCUGGACCGGUACUGACGCUAAAGCGCGAAAGCUAGGGGAGCAAACAGG